UAUNACCGGUACGGNCCGUGAGAGCGAAGCCNGGAGAUGGAUACUGAGACAAGGAUCCAGGCCCUACGGGGCGCAGCAGUUGCGAAAACUCCACAAUGCACGAAANNGUGAUGGGGCUACCCCGAGUGCCGUCCGCUGAGGAUGGCUUUUCUCUACUGUAAGGAGGCAGAGGAAUAAGGAGAGGGCAAGCCUGGUGUCAGCCGCCGCGGUAAUACCAGCUCUCCGAGUGGUAGGGAUGAUUAUUGGGCUUAAAGCGUCCGUAGCCGGCUUGACAAGUCUUCUGUUAAAUCCAGCAACCCAAUUGUUGGACUGCGGGAGAUACUGCCUAGCUAGAGAACGGGAGAAGCCGACGGUACUCUCAGGGUAGGAGUGAAAUCCUAUAAUCCUGGGAGGACCACCAGUGGCGUAGGCUGUCGGCUAGAACGUGUCUGACGGUGAGGGACGAAAGCUUGGGGAGCGAACCGGAUUAGAUACCCGGGUAGUCCAAGCUGUAAACGAUGCGGGCUAGGUGUUGGGGUGGCUACGUGCCACUUCAGUGCCGCAGGGAAGCCGUUAAGCCCGCCGCCUGGGGAGUACGGUCGCAAGGCUGAAACUUAAUAGGAAUUGGCGGGGGAGCAC
rnacentral:rRNA from 1 species